CAGCAGCCGCGGGAAUACGAGGGGGGCAAGCGUUGUUCGGAUUUAUUGGGCGUAAAGGGUGCGUAGGCGGUUUGGCAAGUCUUGUGUGAAAUCUUCGGGCUCAACCCGAAGCCUGCACGAGAAACUACCGGGCUUGAGUAUUGGAGAGGUGAGUGGAAUUUCCGGUAUAGCGGUGAAAUGCGUAGAUAUCGGAAGGAACACCUGUGGCGAAAGCGGCUCACUGGACAAUAACUGACGCUGAUGCACGAAAGCUAGGGGAGCAAACAGGAUUAGAUACCCCCGUAGUCCCUGUCUCUUAUAC
rnacentral:rRNA from 1 species